UUAAAAUAGAAUGAAAUUACUUAUAUAUCGUCAUAAUAAGGAUGACAGUUUCUAGCCAACACCGUAAAUGUUGGACUAUAAGUAAAAAAGUGGAUGGA
rnacentral:ncRNA from 2 species